rnacentral:misc_RNA from 1 species
CAACUCUCCUCCCCCCUCCCCACCCGAUUUCGGCACUCAGUGCCCUCUUGCUUCGUGCGCGCACUGCAUCCCUAACGCGCAUUCCUCGCUCCUACAGCCUUCCUUCCUCUCCCCUUGCUUGCCUGUCUUGCCUCGAGAAUAACAUGCUGCUGCGCAGUCGUUUGUUCCUGGAGGCUGGCAUGGCCGCCGCCGCCACCCUGAAGGACCAGUACGCCUCCUCCGGGAGCAACAUCAAGGGCGCCGACAAGAAGACGCGGUGCCGCACGUCCCUGCAGGUGUCCCUCUCCACUGAUAAGCCUGGCGAGCUGUGUCACCUGCUGAGCGUCUUCAAGCCGUACAGCAUCAACAUCAGCCAGGUCGCCAACCGUCCUCGCGCGUACGAAAACAAGGCGCCGCUGCGCACCAUCUUCCUCGACGUGGACGCUUACAUUGAGGACGAAAGCAUGAAGAAGGUCAUGACGGAGCUGCACGCGAAAUUUCCGAAUGUAGUCGUAGCCGGAUCAUGGGUGAUUCCGUGGUAUCCGACGGAGCCCAAAGACCUCGACGAACUCGAUCAGAGCACGCUCGCUGCUGGCGAGGAGCUGCAAGAAGACCCGGAAAACCCCCACCCCGGCUUCCACGACGAGGUCUACCGCGCCCGCCGCCGCGAGAUUGUCGGGCUUGCCAAGAACUACAAAACCGGAGAUCAGAUCCCGAUUGUAAACUACACAGAAGAAGAGAACCGUGUGUGGACAGUUGUCUACGACCACCUGACCCGCCUGUACCCGACGCACGCGUGCCAACAGUACAACUACGUCUUCCCGCUGCUCCUCGAAAACGGUGUGCUGAGCCGCACACAAACGCCACAGCUGCGCGAUGUGAGCGAGUUCCUGAACGAGGCGACCGGUUUCACGGUACGCCCGGUGACGGGGCUGCUGACGUCGCGCGACUUCUUGAACGCCCUGGCGUUCCGCGUCUUUUACAGCACCCAGUACAUUCGCCACGCGGCUCAGCCGUUGUACACGCCGGAGCCGGACAUGGUGCAUGACAUCAUUGGUCACCUGCCCCUGCUCUCUGAUCCCGACUUCGCCAACUUCACCCAGACGAUCGGCCUCGCCUCCCUUGGCGCCAGCGAUGAGCUGCUGGACAAGCUGGCAAAGGUCUACUGGUAUAGCGUCGAGUUCGGCCUCUGCAGCGAGGGCGGCCGCCGCAAGGCCUACGGUGCUGGUAUUUUAUCGAGCUGUGGCGAGCUAGAGUACGCACUGAGCGACAAGCCGGAGUGCGUCCCGUGGGACCCCACAAUGGCGUCCAAAACGCCGUUCCCUAUCACCAAGUACCAGCCGCGGUACUUUGUGGCUGAAAGCUUCUCAGAUGCGCAGCGUAAGCUGGAGACGUGGCUCAGCUCGCAGGAGAAGCCGCUGUACACCGUCUACAACUCGUACUCGCGGCGCGUGCAGUCGUACCCGAAGAACACGUGGAACAUGCUCCAAGAGCAGAUGAAGCGAACAAACUUCACCUUCUAAUCAGACUGAGACGACGCUGCGCACAGACGCAAACACGUGCUCUUGCGCAAAGGGAGCCGAGGAGGCUCAGGUCCGUGGCCCGAGGACACGGGCACUUGCUGCUGCAAGACGUAAGAGGAUAAGGGUGAUGAGGGCACGCAUCAAGGCAGGUGCCACGCCAUCUCGUACGUGAGGGCUAGACGCUCACAUGCAAGCACGCAUGCAAGACGCGUGUGCUGUCGAUUAUGUGUUGUUGGACGGCUUCUCCGCUUGCGUGUUCCUCUCGUGUCCUUUUUCUUGUUGUCGUCUCCGGGUGAUCUCAGCCGCCGGCGAUGCUCGUCGUACUGACGUCUGUGUGUGUCGCGCACGCCACUGUGGUGCACACGAACGCAGAGUGUAUGUGCGUGUAUGUAUGGGGCGUAUUUCCAUGGUGCAGCUGCCGAUGCUUGUCCGCGGUCACUCCGGCUCUUCCCCUCGUCUCAUAUGGGUGUUUGUAUGCGUGUGUGUCUGUAUCUCCCUCACCGCAGGCGCCUCUUUGUUGUUUUCGUUUUCGUUGGUGGCCCACCCUCCCUCCCUUUCUCCUUCACACCGCCGCUCUGCCACUUCAUCCCGUGCCUCUUCACGGGCCGUCACACGCAGCCGACCAGGCGUUCGUGGAGGUCGUGGGAGGAGUGUUAGAAUACUGAUGAGCUUGACUGCAUGUAGCUUACCAGCGUCCUUGAGCAAGAAGAUGCUGUUUCCAAGUGGCUUUUAUUGCUUACUCGUGCGUUUUGCGCGCUGCUGCGAUGCAGGAAGAGACAAACGGCGAAGUGGCGCGGAUGCAUAAAACAAGUGCAAUGUAGGGGGUGGGAGGAGCGAGGCUGUGAUGGGAAAGUGGGCGUUUUAGUUUCUCGACGGUGCAUGCAAGCCGAAGACCCAGACAAGAUCUCCGUUGAUAUCCCCCCCCCCCCUACACCCCCCCUCCACUAUCCACACACACACAUACAUACUCUAGCGUCCCCUCUCCUCGUGCGUGCCUUCCGUUCUCUUCGGUGUCUGUCGCGAAACUAUGCAUCACCCGCCACAUCGCAUCUCACAGGCCCUCACCCGCUUUCACCCCCCCCCCAAAAAAAAAAAACGUUUUCUUAUUCGUCGCACUGCGCGUUCGAACGACCGGAAACGACAUAUUUUCUGUAUAUAGAAAAAAAGGAGGGGCGGGGACGAAUACGCCUUCCUUGUGCACCUCACUCCCUCCACCCCCGCCCCCGCUGAUACGUCUCCUCUUUUUUUUGCUCGUAAGUUUUUUAUUUGUGUGUGAUUUCAAACACCUGUGUGUGUGUUGUACUUCAGUUAAAGCUUUCCUUUUUUUUUUGCGGGGCGGCGCGAGGCCGGGGGUGCUGCUGUUUUUUUCGUGGUGGGGCUCAUGUGUACCUUCUCGCGUCAAUGUGGGUCCUUUGGUUUCCACGUUGCUUGUUUUCACUUUUCUGUUUUUUUUUCUUCUUUUUUUUCUGCAUUGGUUGUUGUGGCAUGGUCCUCUUCAUCGCAACACGUACGAUGAUGUCGAGGCCCACACACGCAACACGCGCGCACGCUGACAACACAUAAAAGGAAAGCAUGAGGCGUGUCAUGGGAAAAUUGUAAAGCACUAAAAAACCCUUUUUUGCUUGUUUUAGUUUGAAGAGAGGUGAAGGGCACCACCGAGGCGACCCGCAGUGCCCCUCCGUAUGUUGAAAGUGUGGUAAACCUGCAGCAACAACCACAGGAAAGCAGGUGUCGGCCCAUCCAGUCGGUCUCUCCAAGCCCGGCUGCCUUUGUUGCUCCUUGGGCGCUACAAGCAACGCAUAAGGGCGUCGUGUGCGCGCCGCAUGUAAAGCGGAGGGCGGAGGAGGUGCGCCAACACCUUUGCGGUGUUCUGAAUUCGUGCGUGUGCGUCUUGGUUUAUCUCUGUUGCACAGCCAUUCUCCGACGGAGUUACUUCCGCUGCACACGCGCCCACACAUCGCAUUGGAUCCUCUCAGCUUAGCAGCGAAAAGCAUGCCUAGUCUAGUAUAUUAAGCGAAGCAAGUAGUUAAUGCGCGUGCCUCGCUCGCUCGCACACGAAGCGGCCACCUAAGAGGAGCAACUUUACUCCUCGAAUCGGAAGGCGUGCGACAGGGAGCAGGGGGCGACAUAUUGAUCUCGCCAUAUUGUGUCUGUCACCGGCUGUGCCCCUCCUCCUCUACUUUUUUCUUCGCCCCCUUUCGCCUUCCAGCCGGCAGAUUAACGUUCUCUGUGCAAUAUUCCAGUAGCUAAAAAGUCUUCACGGUAUACAGCAUG